rnacentral:rRNA from 1 species
GAUGAACGCUGGCGGCGUGCCUAAUACAUGCAAGUCGAGCGAACAGACGAGGAGCUUGCUCCUCUGACGUUAGCGGCGGACGGGUGAGUAACACGUGGAUAACCUACCUAUAAGACUGGGAUAACUUCGGGAAACCGGAGCUAAUACCGGAUAAUAUAUUGAACCGCAUGGUUCAAUAGUGAAAGACGGUUUUGCUGUCACUUAUAGAUGGAUCCGCGCCGCAUUAGCUAGUUGGCAAGGUAACGGCUUACCAAGGCAACGAUGCGUAGCCGACCUGAGAGGGUGAUAGGCCACACUGGAACGGAGACACGGUCCAGACUACUACGGGAGGCAGCAGUAGGGAAUGUUCCGCAAUGGGCGAAAGCCUGACGGAGCAACGCCGCGUGAGUGAUGAAGGUCUUCGGAUCGUAAAACUCUGUUAUUAGGGAAGAACAAAUGUGUAAGUAACUAUGCACGUCGUGACGGUAACUAAUCAGAAAGCCACGGCUAACUACGUG